rnacentral:lncRNA from 1 species
CCCCCUUUAUGAAAAGUUCUGGAUCCGCCACUGUGCGGGAGUUUCUCGCUGCAUUGAAGACCUAUAGGUGACCUUCUGCUGUUGUCUGUUCCAUGGUCGGGUUGUUGUCUCUUUGACACAUUCCCUAUUUCUAUUCUCAAUUUUAUCUAUUACAAGACCUUCCUAUAGAAUUUAUAGUUAACUUGUUCUCGUUCUGAACAUG